rnacentral:misc_RNA from 1 species
GGAGAACUGGGCAGAAGUAGAAGCAAUUGCCUGCCCAUAGCCAAGGCAAGAGCGCAAAUCCGAAUUUGUAGAAUCUGCGGGCAUAGCUCAACGAUUCAUCCUCCGAGAGACCCAGUGGGCCAUCUACAGUGGGCCACACCGGUGCUGAUGAUAAAAUGGAAUUGCUGGAGGAAUUAGGGUUGCCAGUUGUGGUGGCAGGACCGGCGGCGCUGGUGGUGGUUGAAUUAGUCUGCGACCCUUCCAUUCAAGUUCUCAGUUCUCGCUUCCCAAAGUCUUCAAGCAUGCAGGAUUCUUUUAAACCCGGAAAAUAGCGAACCCGACCACAAUAAACCAACCCAC